GUUCGUAUCUACUAGUUCUGUCGAUUUUUGGUCCUCCUCCAACUCAGCAUCUCUAAUAGCAAUUACAUGAUCAUUCCUUUUCUUCUUUUCUUGUCUACUUGGCUUUCCCAACAACAGGGUAUUUGUUGAAUCACCACCCUCAAUUUUCCCAGUAGCAUUGUUACAUGGUGAAAUAACAGGAACUAAUUCUCCUUGUAAACAAAUCGAAUUUAGA
rnacentral:misc_RNA from 1 species